AGUAAUGGCGAAUGAAAAGAGAUGUGCUUAGUGUCAAAAUCAGGUUAUCCUGAAUUGUAGGCUGUAAGGGUGAUGCCAACUUGGGUGCAGGUGAAAGUCUCUUGGAAAGGAGCACCAGUGAGGGUCAGGGUCCCGCCUGUCAUCUGUCAUCCCUUGUAGACGGUUUGCCCAUUGAGAGUCGUGUUCUUCUGGAAUAGAGCGCCAAACGGGUGGUACUCUUUGCCUAAGGAGCAUUACGUGCUUGAGACCAAUAGCGAACAAGUACCAUGAGGGAAGGGUGAAAAGGACUUUGGAAAGAGGGUUAAGAGGGCUUGAAGCUGCUGGAAGGGAAGUGGAUUGGACUUUUAUUCCGCGGCAAGAUUGCAGGCUGUAGUCUUCACUUGUGGGGAACUGCGUACUGUGUCUCUUGCCGCAUGGUUGAGCUCUGUGUAGUGCUCAGAAUCUUAGCGUGGACUGGAGAAGGGUUGCGAUCUGGACCAUGUCUUUGCCUACUCUUAGCGCAACAUUGAUCUUGACCAAAUAGUUCAAUUUUACCCGUCUUGAAACACGGACCAAGGAGUCUAAUGCGUGUGCGAGUGUAAGGGAUUGACACCUGACAGCUCAACAAAGGUGACUGCUGGGAUUCUUGCACCAGCAACCAACUGAUCGCUUAGGAGAUGUUUGUGUAUGAGCACACUUGCUAGGACCCGAAAGGUGGUGAACUAUGCCUGAGAAGGGUGACGUCAGGGGAAACUCUGAUGGAAGCUCGUAGCGCUACUGACGUGCAAAUCGUUCGUCUGACUUGGGUAUAGGG
rnacentral:rRNA from 1 species